rnacentral:rRNA from 1 species
GACGAACGCUGGCGGCGUGCUUAACACAUGCAAGUCGAACGGGGUUAAGGAGCUUGCUUCUUAACUUAGUGGCGAACGGGUGAGUAACGCGUGAGGAACCUGCCUUUCAGUGGGGGACAACAGUUGGAAACGACUGCUAAUACCGCAUACCACCAUAGUACCGCAUGGUACAGUGGUCAAAGAUUUAUUGCUGAAAGAUGGCCUCGCGUCUGAUUAGCUAGUUGGUGGGGUAACGGCCCACCAAGGCGACGAUCAGUAGCCGGACUGAGAGGUUGACCGGCCACAUUGGGACUGAGAUACGGCCCAGACUCCUACGGGAGGCAGCAGUGGGGAAUAUUGGGCAAUGGGCGAAAGCCUGACCCAGCAACGCCGCGUGAAGGAAGAAGGCCUUCGGGUUGUAAACUUCUUUUACCAGGGACGAACACAAUGACGGUACCUGGAGAAAAAGCAACGGCUAACUACGUGCCAGCCGCCGCGGUAAGAC